AGGUUACCCGAGCAACUUUGCAUC
rnacentral:ncRNA from 6 species